UACGAAGGGGGCUAGCGUUGUUCGGAUUUACUGGGCGUAAAGCGCACGUAGGCGGGUCGUUAAGCCAGGGGUGAAAUCCCGGAGCUCAACUCCGGAACUGCCUUUGAUACUGGCGACCUUGAGGCUGGAAGAGGUUAGUGGAAUUCCCAGUGUAGAGGUGAAAUUCGUAGAUAUUGGGAGGAACACCAGUGGCGAAGGCGGCUCACUGGACUGGUACUGACGCUGAUGCGCGAAAGCGUGGGGAGCAAACAGG
rnacentral:rRNA from 1 species